GAUGAACGCUGGCGGCGUGCCUAAUACAUGCAAGUCGAGCGAACAGACGAGGAGCUUGCUCCUCUGACGUUAGCGGCGGACGGGUGAGUAACACGUGGAUAACCUAUCUAUAAGACUGGGAUAACUUCGGGAAACCGGAGCUAAUACCGGAUAAUAUAUAGAACCGCAUGGUUCAAUAGUGAAAGACGGUUUUGCUGUCACUUAUAGAUGGAUCCGCGCCGCAUUAGCAAGUUGGUAAGGAAACGGCUUACCAAGGCGACGAUGCGUAGCCGACCUGAGAGGGUGAUCGGCCACACUGGAACUGAGACACGGUCCAGACUCCUACGGGAGGCAGCAGUGGGGAAUCUUCCGCAAUGGGCGAAAGCCUGACGCAGCAACGCCGCGUGAGUGAUGAAGGUCUUCGGGUCGUAAAACUCUGUUAUUAGGGAAGAACAAAUGUGUAAGUAACUAUGCACGUCUUGACGGUACCUAAUCAGAAAGCCACGGCUAACUACGUG
rnacentral:rRNA from 1 species